rnacentral:rRNA from 1 species
GACGAACGCUGGCGGCGUGCUUAACACAUGCAAGUCGAACGGAAAGGCGCUGCGUUUGUUGGGUUCUCGAUUGGCGAACGGGUGAGUGUCACGUGAGUAACCUGCCCUUGUCUGUGUGGGAACUUCAGGAAACUCGGGCUAAUACCGGAUAUGAGCUACUGCUGCAUAGUGGGGGAUGGAGAGUGUCGGCGGUUGGGGCUAGACUCGCUGGUUAUGAGCUGCAUGGUGUGGUAGUGGCUUACCAAGGCUGCGACGGCUAGCCGGCAUGGGAGAGUGAACGGGGACAUGGCGACUGCGAGAGGGAGCAGACUCGUACGGGCGGCAGAAGUGGGGAAUAUUGCACAAUGGGCGGAAGCCUGAUGCAGCAACGUCGCGUGCGGGAUGACGGGCUUCGAGUGGUAAACAGAUGUGGCAUGUGACGAAGCGGGAGUGACGGUAAUGGGUCAAGAAGCACCGGCUAACUACGUG